rnacentral:lncRNA from 1 species
UACAACAACAUACGUGUGAGGAUCAAAGAUUUUCACUCCAACUUAUCAGUGUUGUGACUUCUUUGGCUCUUUCUUGGUACAUUAGAGCAAGAGAAUCUCGUUUACGUUUGUGUAUAACUUCUCUUUUUGGGCAUGUGGCACCAAUAGUGGUGGUGGAAAAGAAGGCAUUUCUGGUGCUGUUAUCAUCUGGUUGAGUAAUGGGUGGACCAGUUUUGGGGCUAUAACAGCCUUAAACAAAAAAUGUGGUACGCAACUCCCUUUGAUAAUUGAUGAAGAUCACUUUCAAAUGAAUUUUUGUGGUAUUAUGUGCGUACCUCUGCCACUGCCUAGAUGUGUAGCUUAUCAGCCUUUUUCAGGAAAAUGGGAGAUGAAAUUCCCACCGAAUGAACUAGAAUCAUGCAUAUAAAAUAUAUCUUUGGCGGAUAUGAUUAUGAAGCUAUAGAAUAACGUAAAUCACUUUUGAGAAAAGUUUGUAUCAGCAUAUGCGAGUCACUGUUGCCUGUUGGUGUGACUUGAUGUGUCAAUAUUGUAUUUGAUGAGGUACUGUAGCAAGUCGCACAUCGAUCAAUU